UACGGAGGAUCCGAGCGUUAUCCGGAUUUAUUGGGUUUUAAGGGUGCGUAGGCGGCCUUGUAAGUCAGGGGUGAAAGACGGUAGCUUAACUAUCGCAGUGCCCUUGAUACUGCAGGGCUUGAAUGUACUAGAGGUAGGCGGAAUGUGACAAGUAGCGGUGAAAUGCAUAGAUAUGUCACAGAACACCAAUUGCGAAGGCAGCUUACUAUGGUAUGAUUGACGCUGAGGCACGAAAGCGUGGGGAUCAAACAGG
rnacentral:rRNA from 1 species